CUGAAACUUGUUCAGGAACAGAGAUAUUGGAGUUUGGUGCUUGUUGUUGAGGGGGAGUUUGGUGCUUGUUGUUGAGGGCUUUCUAAAGUAAUUUCAUCAGAAAUAACUCUAGAGGCUUUUUUUAGGUAGGGCUCAACACUUGGUAGUUCACCUGAGUAGUGACUAGCCAGAUUUUCUAAGACUGAUAAUUGAUUUGAUAAAAAGGGAUGAGAUAAUAAAUCAAUUAUAUUCUCAGGUGCUGCUUGUUCACUAACCAUUUCUGCAUCAGCAGGAACAGUUAAGUGGUUCAAUUUAGGUGGUUGAAAAGGAUGGUUUGCAGGUAGUCUUUAAUAGACUUUUGUUCCUCAUCUCAGACAUCUCACCUAUGCUCUUCAGAAUCUGAGGGUACACAUGUACAAAUUCCUCAUGAGCAGGCUCUUUGUGGAGUUUGGUGGAUGGUGAUGGGGAUAAAGCUUUAUGUAAGUUUUCAUAGAUUUUGUUCAAGGGAACAUCAUCCAUGUCUGAAGAAGAUGUUAAGGAGGUUGAUUGAGAGGAUGUGGUUGAACUAGAUUCUACUACAAUAACAUUAGAAUGAUGUGGAGAAUCAGAAUUACCUUUAUCAGCUUCUGGAGCAGCAGCUCCUGAACUAGCAUCAUCAUCCUCCUGAA
rnacentral:lncRNA from 1 species